rnacentral:rRNA from 1 species
CCUACGGGGGGCUGCAGUGGGGAAUAUUGGACAAUGGGGGGAACCCUGAUCCAGCCAUGCCGCGUGUGUGAAGAAGGCCCUCGGGUUGUAAAGCACUUUCAGUGAGGAAGAACGCCUGGUGGUUAAUACCCAUCAGGAAAGACAUCACUCACAGAAGAAGCACCGGCUAACUCCGUGCCAGCAGCCGCGGUAAUACGGAGGGUGCGAGCGUUAAUCGGAAUUACUGGGCGUAAAGCGCGCGUAGGUGGCUUGAUAAGCCGGUUGUGAAAGCCCCGGGCUCAACCUGGGAACGGCAUCCGGAACUGUGAAGCUAGAGUGCAGGAGAGGAAGGUAGAAUUCCCGGUGUAGCGGUGAAAUGCGUAGAGAUCGGGCGGAAUACCAGUGGCGAAGGGGGCCUUCUGGCCUGACACUGCCCAUGAGGUGCGAGAGCGUGGGUAGCAAACAGGCAUAGAAACCCUUGUAGGC